GCCGAGGCACUGAGCGCGGCAGCCUGAACCCUGCGCGAGCCAGUCCCGCUGCUGGGCGUCGGCGCAGAGCCGAGGUAGUGGGUGGGUGGCCCUAGCCAGACGGAAAAUGCACUGAACCUCGCGGUGAACGGCGCAGAGACACGGGGCGCAGCUGCCCUGGGAAGAUGGCUGGAGCUAUGGAAGUGAAAAGAUAGUCCCCAAAUCCUUACCUUCUUGGAAUGCAUGUGCUAGCAGGAUCAACAGCCUAGGGUGAUGAACCAGGUGUGGAAGUUGGUGGGGCCACCACCACAGACCACAGGAGGGACACUUGCAAGCCAGGGUCCAGCCUUGCAUGUGACUUACACAGUGUUUUACAAGACUUCACCACUGGCAGGACUUUCCUCUUGAAACCUGUCUCUUCCUGUUAACUUCACACACUAAGCAAGUCAUUUCCCUGCCAUCCAUCCUUCCCCAGCCUUCAACUCACCAUCAGUCCUUCCACAAUCCCAAAUCGCUCAUGAAUGACCUUGGCGAGGGGGGCCAGGCAGUUGGUGGUACAGGAUGCAUUGCUGAAACAGCCCAGUGUGCAAGGACACUGUGAGGUGAGGGUCAGAGCUGCCCUACCACCCUUACCUCACUUUGGGGAUAUGCUCAUAGGCUUGGUUUUGUGAAGAGUCAGGAUGGGGAUGAGUGGGAUCAUUGGGGAUGCCUUCAGACAAGGAGGCACCAGAAGUGCAGCUGGGGGAAGCUCCCCAAGCAUGUUCUCCAGAAGUCAUGUAUUUCUAACACUUUUAGGGCAAUGUGAACAUGGUGGCUGUUAAGGCUUUGGGAAGGAGAAGCAGAUGGAUGUGAAAGGAAUACCAGUAGGGGUGGAGCUGGGGAGGCUGAGUCUGAUUUUGAUCCCUCCUCAUCACGGGCUGGCAUGUCCUCUUGGGUACCAUGCACAGGAUGGUA